GCGCUGGCAAAGCCUCGUGUGUGCGCCCGGGCCGGAGGGGGAGGGAGGGGGUAGAGCUGCCCAAGUUGAGAAGAAUGAUCCGAUUGAAAACUUAGGCACCAGUUCAUUCUUCCCAGCGCUCCCCUCACCCCCCGCCCGAGGGAAGAGCCUGAAAGCCCAGCAAAUCCGGACUGGCUGAGUCCAUGGCCACAGGUGAAGCGGCCACAGAGACAUUUUUACUGUAGGGCGUGUGUGUGUGUGUGUGUGUGUGUGUGUGUGUGUGUGUGUGUGUCUCGCUCUUUAAUCCUGUUGCUCGCUUGAGGAAGGAAGAGAAUCUGAACUUGACUUCCGUUCUCAGCCCGGAGUUAAAAAAAAAUAAAUCCACUAUUCAAUUCUGCUUCACGUUUUUAGAAGGAAGCCUGAUACUCUUAGGUAGUGCCCGAGUGCACCUUUGGAGGGGCACACACAGAACAGCGAAGAUGUGACAGGGUUGCUGAUGUCACGACAGGGACAAGGCUUUGCUGGAGGGUGCGAGCACUUCACUUACUUGGACAGUUCCUUUGCAUGCCUGUUGUGGUCAGCCAGAUUUUCCGGGAAGGGAAUACAGGUAGCUUGUAAUGGAAGAAGAUUAAGAUCUUUAUUUCUGGCUUUUAACUUGGAGCUUUCAGCUCUUGAGUCCAUUCUGUAUGUACACCAGUCGCUUUUUGAAACGGGGCACCUGCACUUAGAAGAAACCCACAGUGAAGUGUUGCGGGUUAGAAACAGAACAGUAGGCCUCAUUGGCUGUGCUUCUGCAAUAUGGGCAUAGGGAGUUUCCCAAAUGUACCGCAUAUGUGAAUGUUUAGGUACUACAGCGUUUGGCCAGACUGUCUUCUCCGUGUCCUGUUGUUUUCCUGGCUCUAAACUUCAUUUUGGUUUUGAUGUGACAGAGGGGGAGGAAGACAGACUCCUGGCUCAGCCAUUUAGAACUUUGUCAUCUUGGGAAGGACUUGAGCUUAAAUUCUAGAAACUAAACCUUUGAUGUUAGCUUUCCUUCAAGUCCAAGAAUAUAUAUCAUCUGUAAAAAAACUGAAAACAGUAGAUAAAACUGGGAACUCUUUGCAGCUUAAUCCUCCUCUGAGCAAUUUAAAGAACUUGAAGGUACCGAAAGGGAAAUUUUAGGGGAAAAAAAAACUGUCUUGAUUGAUUUUUUAUCACCAGCUCUUUAAUAUUUUUAAGGGAUUGAUUCAAUUAAAGAUAUUUUGUCAUUUCA